UACGUAGGGGGCAAGCGUUAUCCGGAUUUACUGGGUGUAAAGGGAGCGUAGACGGCGAUGCAAGUCUGAAGUGAAAGGCGGGGGCCCAACCCCCGGACUGCUUUGGAAACUGUAUGGCUGGAGUGCAGGAGAGGUAAGUGGAAUUCCUAGUGUAGCGGUGAAAUGCGUAGAUAUUAGGAGGAACACCAGUGGCGAAGGCGGCCUGCUGGACGAUGACUGACGUUGAGGCUCGAAAGCGUGGGUAUCGAACAGG
rnacentral:rRNA from 1 species